rnacentral:rRNA from 1 species
GGGAGGCAGCAGUGGGGAAUUUUUCGCAAUGGGGGAAACCCUGACGAAGCAACGCCGCGUGGAGGAUGAAGGCCUUCGGGUCGUAAACUCCUGUCGACCGGGAUGAAUGCUAUUGGGCCCAACACGUCCCAUAAUCGACAUGUAUCGAGUGGAAGAAGCCACGGCUAACUCUGUGCCAGCACCCGCGGUAAUAA